GAAGCCAAGCUUGCUUGGUGGAUCAGUGGCGAACGGGUGAGUAACACGUGAGCAACCUGCCCUGGACUCUGGGAUAAGCGCUGGAAACGGCGUCUAAUACUGGAUAUGAGACGUGAUCGCAUGGUCGUGUUUGGAAAGAUUUUUCGGUCUGGGAUGGGCUCGCGGCCUAUCAGCUUGUUGGUGAGGUAAUGGCUCACCAAGGCGUCGACGGGUAGCCGGCCUGAGAGGGUGACCGGCCACACUGGGACUGAGACACGGCCCAGACUCCUACGGGAGGCAGCAGUGGGGAAUAUUGCACAAUGGGCGAAAGCCUGAUGCAGCAACGCCGCGUGAGGGAUGACGGCCUUCGGGUUGUAAACCUCUUUUAGCAGGGAAGAAGCGAAAGUGACGGUACCUGCAGAAAAAGCGCCGGCUAACUACGUGCCAGCAGCCGCGGUAAUACGUAGGGCGCAAGCGUUAUCCGGAAUUAUUGGGCGUAAAGAGCUCGUAGGCGGUUUGUCGCGUCUGCUGUGAAAUCCCGAGGCUCAACCUCGGGCCUGCAGUGGGUACGGGCAGACUAGAGUGCGGUAGGGGAGAUUGGAAUUCCUGGUGUAGCGGUGGAAUGCGCAGAUAUCAGGAGGAACACCGAUGGCGAAGGCAGAUCUCUGGGCCGUAACUGACGCUGAGGAGCGAAAGGGUGGGGAGCAAACAGGCUUAGAUACCCUGGUAGUCCACCCCGUAAACGUUGGGAACUAGUUGUGGGGACCAUUCCACGGUUUCCGUGACGCAGCUAACGCAUUAAGUUCCCCGCCUGGGGAGUACGGCCGCAAGGCUAAAACUCAAAGGAAUUGACGGGGACCCGCACAAGCGGCGGAGCAUGCGGAUUAAUUCGAUGCAACGCGAAGAACCUUACCAAGGCUUGACAUAUACGAGAACGGGCCAGAAAUGGUCAACUCUUUGGACACUCGUAAACAGGUGGUGCAUGGUUGUCGUCAGCUCGUGUCGUGAGAUGUUGGGUUAAGUCCCGCAACGAGCGCAACCCUCGUUCUAUGUUGCCAGCACGUAAUGGUGGGAACUCAUGGGAUACUGCCGGGGUCAACUCGGAGGAAGGUGGGGAUGACGUCAAAUCAUCAUGCCCCUUAUGUCUUGGGCUUCACGCAUGCUACAAUGGCCGGUACAAAGGGCUGCAAUACCGUGAGGUGGAGCGAAUCCCAAAAAGCCGGUCCCAGUUCGGAUUGAGGUCUGCAACUCGACCUCAUGAAGUCGGAGUCG
rnacentral:rRNA from 1 species